GGGCCUGUAGCUCAGCUGGGAGAGCGCCUCGUUCGCAACGAGGAGGUCGUGGGUUCGAAUCCCAUCAGGUCCA
rnacentral:tRNA from 1 species